rnacentral:rRNA from 1 species
GCUUACGACCACACCGGCCUGAGUACGCCUGAUCUCAGUCUGAUCUCGGAAGCUAAGCAGGGUCGGGCCUGGUUAGUACUUGGAUGGGAGACCGCCUGGGAAUACCAGGUGCUGUAAGCU